AUUGAACGCUGGCGGCAGGCCUAACACAUGCAAGUCGAACGAGUGGCGGACGGGUGCGUAACGUCUGGGAAACUGCCUGAUGGAGGGGGAUAACUACUGUAAACGGUAGCUAAUCCCGCAUCCCAUCAGAUGUGCCCAGCUGGGAUUAGCUAGUUGGUGGGGUAACGGCUCACCAAGGCGACGAUCACUAGCGGGUCUGAGAGGAUGACCAGCCACACUGGAACUGAGACACGGUCCAGACUCCUACGGGAGGCAGCAGUGGGGAAUAUUUCGCAAUGGGCGCAAGCCUGAUGCAGCCAUGCCGCGUGUAUGAAGAAGGCCUUCGGGUUGUAAAGUACUUUCAGCGGGGAGGCGUUACCCGCAGAAGAAGCCCCGGCUAACUCCGUGCCAGCAGCCGCGGUAAUUC
rnacentral:rRNA from 1 species